rnacentral:rRNA from 1 species
UGGGGAAGAUUGCACAAUGGGGGAAACCCGUAGAUGCAGCGACGCCGCGUGAACGAAGAAGUAUUUCGGUAUGUAAAGUUCUAUCAGCAGGGAAGAUAAUGACGGUACCUGACUAAGAAGCACCGGCUAAAUACGUGCCAGCAGCCGCGGUAAUACGUAUGGUGCAAGCGUUAUCCGGAUUUACUGGGUGUAAAGGGAGCGCAGGCGGUGCGGCAAGUCAGAUGUGAAAACCCGGGGCUCAACCCCGGGACUGCAUUUGAAACUGUCGGACUAGAGUGUCGGAGAGGUAAGUGGAAUUCCUAGUGUAGCGGUGAAAUGCGUAGAUAUUAGGAGGAACACCAGUGGCGAAGGCGGCUUACUGGACGAUAACUGACGCUGAGGCUCGAAAGCGUGGGGAGCAAACAGGAUUAGAUACCCU